AUUGAAAAGUGCUCCGUUUUCUUAAAAAUAAAAGUUUAAUUGCUCGGAGUCAAAUUUAUUUUUUUUAUUUGAAAGUUUUUUUUCGUGUUUCCAGUGUAAAAAUUAAAAGUUCUUCCAUUUAACAUCAAAAUUCUGGAACUGCCAAAUCACUCAAUGAUUAACUUUGAGCAAAAAGAAAAAUGAAAACCAAGAAUUAUUUUCUUCGUUUCGCAUGGACACUAUGGAAUAUUAGAUGGUAAAAAAUAAGUUAAAUCUAUUGCCUUAUUUAAAAUGUAGAUGACCUGCAUUCGCAUGUACAUUAAAAUUAACAUAUGUAAAUACAACAAUUAUUUUUUUUUUAUAUUUACCUAAAAUUAUGUUUAAUAGCCUAUUCAUAUUAUGCCUGGCUUACGUAUUAAAGUAGUGAAAAAAAAUGAUUAUAUUAUUAUUAUGUGUAUCAAGUUACUUUUUGUCAUAUAAUAAAUGGAGUAAUCUGUAUAGGUUGUAACAAACAUAUAAAAAGCGUUUUUGCCCAAUAAUUCAGAAAAAGAAAUCAUAGUGCCUCUCAACGUUGCUAUCGCUGUCAAUGUCUCUCACAGUUAUGUUUUUUUUGCCACUUAGCCUCCAGAAUUACAUCUCCGAUAAGAGCGGUGCGAGGAACGGUGUCUUUACAGUCUGAAUCGGUGUCGAGGCAGCGGCAACGGGCACCGAUCAUCCCGGAAUACACAGAUAACCGCCAGCAGGAUUAUCCUGCAAUGCCUACAGAUGGCUACGAUGCGCAGCGCACCCUUAUCAGCGCCACGGGCUGGACCCUGCAGAAACACUCAAAAGUGUCCACCGUGUGGCGGGAGGUGCUGCAGCUGGCAUAUUAUGCGUAACAAAAAUAAAUAAUAAAAUUGAAAGUAUGCGCUAAUCAUU